AGGCACGAUGAUGCUAGUGUUGGAGGGUUUCCGCCCUUCAGUGCUGCAGCUAACGCAUUAAGCAUUCCGCCUGGGGAGUACGGCCGCAAGGCUGAAACUCAAAGGAAUUGACGGGGGCCCGCACAAGCGGUGGAGCAUGUGGUUUAAUUCGAAGCUACGCGAAGAACCUUACCAGGUCUUGACAUACUAUGCAAAUCUAAGAGAUUAGACGUUCCCUUCGGGGACAUGGAUACAGGUGGUGCAUGGUUGUCGUCAGCUCGUGUCGUGAGAUGUUGGGUUAAGUCCCGCAACGAGCGCAACCCUUAUUAUCAGUUGCCAGCAUUAAGUUGGGCACUCUGGUGAGACUGCCGGUGACAAACCGGAGGAAGGUGGGGAUGACGUCAAAUCAUCAUGCCCCUUAUGACCUGGGCUACACACGUGCUACAAUGGAUGGUACAACGAGUUGCGAACUCGCGAGAGUAAGCUAAUCUCUUAAAGCCAUUCUCAGUUCGGAUUGUAGGCUGCAACUCGCCUACAUGAAGUCGGAAUCGCUAGUAAUCGCGGAUCAGCAUGCCGCGGUGAAUACGUUCCCGGGCCUUGUACACACCGCCCGUCACACCAUGAGAGUUUGUAACACCCAAAGUCGGUGGGGUAACCUUUUAGGAACCAGCCGCCUAAGGUGGGACAGAUGAUUAGGGUGAAGUCUGAAGAGGGUGUCACACGAAAGGGUCCCGGGGAAAAG
rnacentral:rRNA from 2 species